rnacentral:rRNA from 1 species
UAGGGAAUCUUCCACAAUGGACGAAAGUCUGAUGGAGCAACGCCGCGUGAGUGAAGAAGGGUUUCGGCUCGUAAAGCUCUGUUGGUAGUGAAGAAAGAUAGAGGUAGUAACUGGCCUUUAUUUGACGGUAAUUACUUAGAAAGUCACGGCUAACUACGUGCCAGCAGCCGCGUAAUCACGAGCU